rnacentral:rRNA from 1 species
AACGAACGCUGGCGGCAUGCCUAACACAUGCAAGUCGAACGAAACCUUCGGGUCUAGUGGCGCACGGGUGCGUAACGCGUGGGAACCUGCCCUUAGGUUCGGAAUAACUCCCCGAAAGGGGUGCUAAUACCGGAUAAUGUCUUCGGACGAAAGAUUUAUCGCCUUUGGAUGGGCCCGCGUUGGAUUAGCUAGUUGGUAGGGUAAAAGCCUACCAAGGCGACGAUCCAUAGCUGGUCUGAGAGGAUGAUCAGCCACACUGGGACUGAGACACGGCCCAGACUCCUACGGGAGGCAGCAGUGGGGAAUAUUGGACAAUGGGCGAAAGCCUGAUCCAGCAAUGCCGCGUGAGUGAUGAAGGCCUUAGGGUUGUAAAGCUCUUUUACCCGGGAUGAUAAUGACAGUACCGGGAGAAUAAGCUCCGGCUAACUCCGUG